CCUACGGGGGACAGCAGUGGGGAAUAUUGGGCAAUGGAGGCAACUCUGACCCAGCAACGCCGCGUGAGUGAUGAAGGUCUUCGGAUUGUAAAACUCUUUAAGUGGGGACGAAGAAAGUGACUGUACCCACAGAAUAAGCCUCGGCUAACUACGUGCCAGCAGCCGCGGUAAUACGUAGGGGGCAAGCGUUAUCCGGAUUUACUGGGUGUAAAGGGAGCGUAGACGGCCAGACAAGUCAGAAGUGAAAGCCCAGGGCUCAACCCUGGGACUGCUUUUGAAACUGCCGGGCUGGAGUGCAGGAGAGGUAAGCGGAAUUCCUAGUGUAGCGGUGAAAUGCGUAGAUAUUAGGAGGAACACCAGUGGCGAAGGCGGCUUACUGGACUGUAACUGACGUUGAGGCUCGAAAGCGUGGGGAGCAAACAGGAUUAGAUACCCCUGUAGUC
rnacentral:rRNA from 1 species